GACGAACGCUGGCGGCGUGCUUAACACAUGCAAGUCGAACGGAAAGGCCCUGCUUUUGUGGGGUGCUCGAGUGGCGAACGGGUGAGUAACACGUGAGUAACCUGCCCUUGACUUUGGGAUAACUUCAGGAAACUGGGGCUAAUACCGGAUAGGAGCUCCUGCUGCAUGGUGGGGGUUGGAAAGUUUCGGCGGUUGGGGAUGGACUCGCGGCUUAUCAGCUUGUUGGUGGGGUAGUGGCUUACCAAGGCUUUGACGGGUAGCCGGCCUGAGAGGGUGACCGGCCACAUUGGGACUGAGAUACGGCCCAGACUCCUACGGGAGGCAGCAGUGGGGAAUAUUGCACAAUGGGCGGAAGCCUGAUGCAGCAACGCCGCGGGCGGGAGGACGGCCUUCGGGUUGUAAACCGCUUUCGCCUGUGACGAAGCGUGAGUGACGGUAAUGGGUAAAGAAGCACCGGCUAACUACGUG
rnacentral:rRNA from 1 species